rnacentral:lncRNA from 1 species
AAGCUUUCCUAACUCAUCACCUGUUCUAAGUGUGGACUAAUGGCGGCUGAGAUGCAAGUAGAAGCUAUAAUUUCUGUGACUAAGAGUGGAAGAUAGAACAUAGUAAACUUCCUUGAAUACAUGACUUCUGAGCUGGGCCACAUAAUAUCAGGGAGAUUUUUCUAGGUAGAAAAUAAGAAAUGACAUUCUAGGCAAAAGAAACAGUCUGUGCAAGGGCAGGAGGUAUGAAAAUAGAGGAUGUGUAACUACACAAGGGAACUGGAAUUUUUUGAGCACCUACUAUAUGCCAAGAGCUUUUUUUCUGUUACCAUAUUUCAUUCUCUAACUCAUCUUGCUUGGGAAGCAUUGUCCUUCCUAUUUUAAGGGGAGAAAAAAAACUGUGCUAAAUGUUUAGGAAUUUGUUGAGACCACAUAGCACAAAAGUGGCUGAGCUGGAUUUUGAACCUAGGCCUGUCUUACCAUAACCUUUUCCUUCCCAUGAUAUGUGGUGAAGGACAGGAAGUGGAGGGCUAAGGGACUAGAAUUAACUGACAAUUCCCCAACAUACUAUUGUCAACUUCAACCCUGAAGAUGAGAACAGGUGUCUGCUCCUCUGAAACUGUAUUCUUUUCCAGUUUUGAAAAUUUCCCAUUGGCUUGAAAAGUGAUCCUCAAAUUUUCAGAAAGGAAUGAGAUCGGGCAUGUGAGGAAAGAGAUCUAUUUUCAUACACGGGGCUUGUUUCACUUUGCAAGUUGUAGCCAAAUUGCCUGAACUAUUUUCAUACUUGGAUUUCAGACAACUUGCUGAGAUCCAUAUUAUCUGAUUCAGGAUGUCUUUGUGCAAAGUCUUUUGAUUUUAUCAGGUGCAUUUCACUCCAUCAAAGCCCAGGCUAUUUGCCCUGGCGAUGCCUUGAAAAACUGGGUUUGCAGUUUGAAUCGGAGCUGGAGAAAGGCACUUCCACAGGUCGUGUGAGUCCACGUGCAUAACGGCUCCUGAUAGAGCAUCCCUGGGGACUGAUUUGGGGGACCAUCUUUUAUCUGAUGCAAUGAUCUUUUGGAUUACAUAGGCCCCCAAGUUCUAAUGGCAAACCGAAUUGUCACACUAUCUUUUUCUUAAGUUAAGCUCACUGCUUGGAGUGACUUUAUUAAAUUAGAUGUAGAGAUUUCAUUCAAUAAGGGCAGGUAAAUAAAUGGAUACUCAGCAAAGCAUAUGAAGUCAACAGAGCGCCUACCCUUUUCAGGAGAGCAGACUUUAAGGACAGACAAACUGAACUUAGAAUUCUUCUUCUCCCCUUUCUAAUGUGUGACAAUGGGUGAACAUUUCAACUACUAUACAGCUUUGUCUCAUCAACAAAAAUAUAGGAUUAAUAAUACCUUCCUGUGAGAUUUACAUGUAAUAGCAUUUGUGAAGCUCUAAGUACAUUUCCUGGUAUAUACUGCCCCCACACCCCAAUCCCUAUUUGGGAAAAAAGUAAGUUAACAAGAAAUAAAGUGUUAUUUUUAUAUCAAAACAAAGACAUGCUUUAUGCAGUAGAUAUCAAAAUUUACAUGACAUUUUAGCUUAAAUAAAAGAAAAAAACAAAUUUCAAGCUUGCAGCCAUUGCUUUGAGCUAAGCCUCAAGACCUCUAGAGAGAGAGAGUUUUGUCUUUUGAAGGGAUUUGGUGGAAGAGUUCAAGUGCAGCUAUGGUCCAGUCUUCCAACCUUUGGUGGAUGAGUUCAAGUGCAGCUAUGGUCCAGUCUUCCAACCAUUGAUGGAAGAGUUUAAUUUGUGGCCUCUGAUUCUGUUUACACAUUUAGGUAUCCUUUUCCUAGAUAGAAUGUUAAAAUUGUCUCUAUGAAUAGUUACACAACCACUUCAUUGAAUCACAGGAUUACACAGAACUCAAAGGAAGCUUUUAUCACACCAGAUGCAUUUUACUCUACCUGCCACAUGCCAUAAUGGGCUCAGAUAAGUUCUGGAAAUUGGUCUGCUGCUUGGCAAGAGACCCAGAGACAAGCAUUUCCACAGGUAACCAUAGUUCAGGCACGAGGUGGAACUUGUUUAGGGUCUAAUGGCAGGAAUAGAUACAAUGAAAUUUGUGACAAUCUCAGUGAAAAUGUGCUUUCCACAGAAUUUAGAUGGGCUUUUGAGCCAGUCUCAUAUUAAUGUUAAGGGGCAGGGGACUCAUAGGUGAUCUCUUGGUCACACAAAUGUUUGAUAUAAUAAUUAAAUGUGGAGACUCAGGAGUCUAUGUUGGAUUUCAUAUUUUGGUUUGGAAAUAUUGGCAAGUUACUUAACCACUCUGAACCUCUGUUUCCUCCUCUGUAAGAUAGGGCUUAUAUUAGUAGUUACUUCAUCAGGCUGUGGUGAGGAUGAGAUAGGAGAAGAACAGAGCUCUCAGCAUGGAGAGUGGUCCGUGACAAGCACUCAACAAAUAGUAACAUACCUCCCCACACCCCCCAACUACUAAUACUUCACCUAACCAUAACAACAACAUAUGGCUGAUGGUAUUCCUCCACAUCUGCAGCACUCUGUACUCGUGUCUCACUUAAGAUUCUUGUUGUAUUCUCCUUUGAACCAGUGGUGUCCAUGUCCUGUCUUCUCCAAGCCACCUUGAGCACAGUGACCUCAGCCAAUUUUUCACUGUGCACUUCCAGCACUGGGCUAUCCUGUUUGGGGACUCUGGACAAACCCCUUUUGCUACCUGUGUCCUCACCCCCAGACAAAGAGCACUUGGCCAUGGCACUUCCUUUCUCUGGCCACCAGUUGCUUCUUAGUUGAACCUCUAGACCUAACACUUGAUGCUGAUGUAACAGAUUAUAUCUCAGCCUUUCCAAUUUAGGCAAAGCAUGUUUUGAAAUGUGAGUGAGAAAUUGACUUUAGUUCUCUAUUUUAGUAUGGUUAGUGGUUUAUACUUGUAUCUGGGUCAUUCAGUCCUGACUCAUGGAUACUUUUACUAAGAUCAAAUCCACACCCAGAUCACUCAUGAAUUUUUCUCUGCAGCCUGAGCCACAAGGCAUGCACCAGAUCUCAGCUCUGGCAGUAGCAUUCAAGACGGGUUUCAGAAAUGCCAUUUCCUUCCUGUUGAUGAGACGGGGCUGGUUUCUUGGGGAACUCCAGGCUGCCAGGACAUCUCCGCAGCCCCUUUUCUAUCAUAAGAGUGGGCAGUUUGUGUCAUGAGGAGUGAGAAGUGGAACCCUUAGCUCUAUGUUCUGGCUAAAGAUCCUCCUUUUCUUCUUUUUAGGGCCUGAGGAGGGAAGGAGGCGCCUGUAAAGCUGUGUUCUCUGUAUAAAGCCCUUCACUUGGAGGAAAAAGAACCUGCACCUGGGCCUCUUUCUGGAACUCAAAGAUGAAGAAACUGAGGCAUCUUGCAUAGAUCUGAAUACCGGCAGUUUGACUCCAGAAUCAGUUUUCAUCGUAGAGGAAGACUACCCUACUUACAUCAGGUACCAUAAAAAGAUUAUAAAAUCAAGGCCUACUGAGGUGAAAAAGCUAGUAAAGGGGCAGAAUCAGGAUCCAAACCGAGGUUGGCAUGAUGUCACGGCUUGUGGUUUUUAUAUUAUAUCACAAUUAUGAGAUAAAGGGAGAGA